UCUAUACGUUUACUCGAUCGUUUUGUAAAAUAUCAUAAAGCGUUUGGUGCUCGAGGAUGUUUUUUUUUUUUUUUUUUUUUUUGUCUUUCUUGAAAAUUGUUAAAAUUUGUACAUUGCCAACUAUCGAAAACGCGCACAAUAGUUCCUUGUACUUUACCCGAUAAUAUGGGAAAAGCGAAUAAAAACGUCGGGUGAACGGAAUUGUCCACGCGGUACGUUGGUUUUCGUAAAAAUCGAUAAUAUUUAUUUUGUUGUAAUUCAUCGAGGCAAUAAUUAAUCGUAUAAUACACGGAUCUGGAAUUUUUACCGAGCACAGUUUACAGCAUUAUCUGUAGAUGAAUGAUAACGACGAACAUAUUUAAGCUCUUAUUGUUAAUGUAUUUUCCAUUUUACGUCGACAAAUUAUGUUUUUUUUUUUUUGCGUUCAGUAUAUUAUUAAAUUAAAUGGAUAUAUAUAAAAUAUUUGUAUUUCUCCUACACUUUAACAUUUCGAACGGAGGCUAUUACAGUAAUAAAUUAUUGCGCGCGUGUUUGUUUUGCACUAUAGUAUUAAAACGUGCAUUUCGUUUUCGAAGACUAUUCGACCCGGACAACGUUUUACGACACAUUUACCGUGUUGUCCUUUUAAAACGGUUUGAGCGCACACAUUACGGAACGUCUAUUGUACGUGAAAACACAACGUACAAAGUCAAAUCGUUUUUAAUAAUAGUCGCCGAACCUGCAGACCGAAAACGACACUGGGAAAUUGUUUAGAUAACGGGGUGGUAAGUGUUCUGUGCAAGUAAAAUACUAAUACGGAUUAUAGGUACACUGAGUAAUUUUUAUUUCACUGUCUCAACGACGUCACGGGUACGCAGGCGAUCGGUUCCCGCGGUAUACUUACGUAUCGAAUUUGCGACGAAGUAACCUGUUGUGGGUAUUAGAAACCACAAUGAAUUCACGAACGGACGUUAUCCU